rnacentral:rRNA from 1 species
GGUUUGUCGCGUUGUUCGUGAAAUCUCACGGCUUAACUGUGAGCGUGCGGGCGAUACGGGCAGACUUGAGUACUGCAGGGGAGACUGGAAUUCCUGGUGUAGCGGUGGAAUGCGCAGAUAUCAGGAGGAACACCGGUGGCGAAGGCGGGUCUCUGGGCAGUAACUGACGCUGAGGAGCGAAAGCGUGGGGAGCGAACAGGAUUAGAUACCCUGGUAGUCCACGCCGUAAACGGUGGGUACUAGGUGUGGGUUUCCUUCCUUGGGAUCCGUGCCGUAGCUAACGCAUUAAGUACCCCGCCUGGGGAGUACGGCCGCAAGGCUAAAACUCAAAGAAAUUGACGGGGGCCCGCACAAGCGGCGGAGCAUGUGGAUUAAUUCGAUGCAACGCGAAGAACCUUACCUGGGUUUGACAUGCACAGGACGCCGGCAGAGAUGUCGGUUCCCUUGUGGCCUGUGUGCAGGUGGUGCAUGGCUGUCGUCAGCUCGUGUCGUGAGAUGUUGGGUUAAGUCCCGCAACGAGCGCAACCCUUGUCUCAUGUUGCCAGCGGGUAAUGCCGGGGACUCGUGAGAGACUGCCGGGGUCAACUCGGAGGAAGGUGGGGAUGACGUCAAGUCAUCAUGCCCCUUAUGUCCAGGGCUUCACACAUGCUACAAUGGCCGGUACAAAGGGCUGCGAUGCCGCGAGGUUAAGCGAAUCCUUUUAAAGCCGGUCUCAGUUCAGAUCGGGGUCUGCAACUCGACCCCGUGAAGUCGGAGUCGCUAGU